rnacentral:rRNA from 1 species
CCUACGGGGGGCAGCAGUCGAGAAUCAUUCACAUUGGGGGAAACCCUGAUGGUGCGACGCCGCGUGGGGGCAUGAAGGUCUUCGGAUUGUAAACCCCUGUCAUGUGGGAGCAAAUUAAAAAGAUAGUACCACAAGAGGAAGAGACGGCUAACUCUGUGCCAGCAGCCGCGGUAAUACAGAGGUCUCAAGCGUUGUUCGGAAUCACUGGGCGUAAGGCGUGCGUAGGCUGUUUCGUAAGUCGUGUGUGAAAGGCGCGGGCUCAACCCGCGGACGGCACAUGAUAAUGCGAGACUAGAGUAAUGGAGGGGGAACCGGAAUUCUCGGUGUAGCAGUGAAAUGCGUAGAUAUCGAGAGGAACACUCGUGGCGAAGGCGGGUUCCUGGACAUUAACUGACGCUGAGGCACGAAGGCCAGGGGAGCGAAAGGGAUUAGAUACCCCAGUAGUC